rnacentral:rRNA from 1 species
AUUGAACGCUGGCGGCAGGCCUAACACAUGCAAGUCGAACGAGUGGCGGACGGGUGAGUAAUGUCUGGGAAACUGCCUGAUGGAGGGGGAUAACUACUGGAAACGGUCGCUAAUACCGCAUACAAUCAGAUGUGCCCAGAUGGGAUUAGCUAUGUGGUGGGGUAACGGCUCACCAAGGCGACGAUCCCUAGCUGGUCUGAGAGUAUGACCAGCCACAUGGGAACUGGGAAACGGUCCAGACUCCUAAGGGAGGCAGAAGUGGGGAAUAUUGCACAAUGGGCGCAAGCCUGAUGCAGCAAUGCCGCGUGGAUGAAGAAGGCCUUCGGGUUGUAAAGUACUUUCAGCGGGGAGGCGUUACCCGCAGAAGAAGCACCGGCUAACUCCGUGCCAGCAGCCGCGGUAAUAC